UUAAAAAGCUCGUAGUUGAAUUUCGGGGUUAGUAGGUUGGUCAUGCCUCUGGUAUGUACUGGUCUCACUGAUUCCUCCUUCCUGAUGAACCAUAAUGCCAUUAAUUUGGUGUUGCGGGGAAUUUGGACUGUUACUUUGAAAAAAUUAGAGUGUUUAAAGCAAGCUAACGCUUGAAUACAUUAGCAUGGAAUAAUGAAAUAGGACGUUCGAUCCUAUUUUGUUGGUUUCUAGGAUUGACGUAAUGAUUAAUAGGGAUAGUUGGGGG
rnacentral:rRNA from 1 species